rnacentral:tRNA from 2 species
GCGGCUUUAGCUCACUUGGGAGAGCGUCAGACUGAAGACAAAAGCAUAGUCUAUCUGAAGGCACUGUGUUCGAUCCACAGAAGCCGCA